rnacentral:rRNA from 1 species
AUUGAACGCUGGCGGCAGGCCUAACACAUGCAAGUCGAGCGGAGCGGCGGUCGGGUGAGUAAUGCCUAGGAAUCUGCCUGGUCGUGGGGGAUAACGUCCGGAAACGGGCGCUAAUACCGCAUACUAUCAGAUGAGCCUAGGUCGGAUUAGCUAGUGGGUGGGGUAAGGGCCUAACAAGGCGACGAUCCCUAACUGGUCUGAGAGGAUGAUCAGACACACUGGAACUGAGACACGGUCCAGACGCCUACGGGAGGCAGCAGUGGGGAAUAUUGAACAAUGGGCGAAAGCCUGAUGCAGCCAUGCCGCGUGUAUGAAGAAGGUCUUCGGGUUGUAAAGCACUUUAAGUUGGGAGGCGUUACCAACAGAAUAAGCACCGGCUAACUCCGUGCCAGCAGCCGCGGUAAUUC